rnacentral:rRNA from 1 species
CCUACGGGUGGCAGCAGUGAGGAAUAUUGGUCAAUGGUCGGGCGACUGAACCAGCCAAGCCGCGUGAGGGAUGACGGUACAGAGUAUCGUAAACCUCUUUUGUCAGGGAACAAAGCCGGGUACGUGUCCCCGGAUGAGUGUACCUUGAGAAAAAGCAUCGGCUAACUCCGUGCCAGCCGACGCGGUAAUACGGGGGAUGCGGGCGUUAUCCGGAUUUAUUGGGUUUAAAGGGUGCCCAGGCGGUAUGUGAAGUCCGCGGUAAAAGCCCGGGGCUCAACCCCGGCCCGCCGUUGAAACUGGCAGUCUCGAGUGGGAGAGAAGUAUGCGGAAUGCGCGGUGUAGCGGUGAAAUGCAUAGAUAUCGCGCAGAACUCCGAUUGCGAAGGCAGCAUGCCGGCUCCAAACUGACGCUGAGGCACGAAAGCGUGGGUAUCGAACAGGAUUAGAUACCCGAGUAGUC